rnacentral:rRNA from 1 species
UUAACAAAAACAUGUCCUUUUGAUUAUUAUUUAAGGUCUGGUCUGCCCUAUGAUUGUAGUUUUAAAUGGCCGCGAUAUCUUGAUCGUGCGAAGGUAGCAUAAUCAUUAGCUUUUUAAUUGAAAGCUGGUAUGAAUGAUUGGACAAGAAACUUUCUGUCUCAGAUUUAUUUUUUGAAUUUUAUUUUUUAGUUAAAAAGCUUAAAUUGUUUUGUAAGACGAGAAGACCCUAUAGAGUUUUAUAUUUAUUUUUACAUUUAGAUUUUAGAAUUAUAAUCUUUUUGUUUAGUAAAAUAUUUGGUUGGGGUGACAGAAAAAUUUAUUGAACUUUUUAUUUAUAAAAUAUGAAUUAAUAGGUUAUUGACUUAUAAUAAUAGUUAAAAGACUAAAUUACCUUAGGGAUAACAGCGUAAUUUUUCUAAAGAGUUCAUAUCGAAAGAAAAGAUUGCGACCUCGAUGUUGGAUUAAAGUUAAAAUUUGGUGCAGAAGCUAAAUUGUUUAGUCUGUUCGACUAUUAAAACUUUACAUGAUCUGAGUU